UUUUUUUUUUUUUUUUUUUGAGAUGGAGUCCCGCUCUGUCACCCAGGCUGGAGUGCAGUCGCAUGAGCUCGGCUCACCGCAACCUCCGCCACCCGGGUUUAAGUGAUUCUCCCCACUCAGCCUCCCAAGUAGCUGGGAUUACAGGCAUGCACCAUCACAACUGGCUCAUUUUUGCAUUUUUAGUAGACAUGUGGUUUCACCACGUUGGCCAGAUUGGUCUCAAACUUCCGACUUCAAGUGAUCCGCGCCCCCUCAGCCUCCCAAAGUGAAUGGUAAAUAACAAUGAAUCUAAUCCUAGAGCAGGGAGGCAGCACAGUAAGAGGAAGACUUGGAUUUUGAGUGCAAGGUUUUACUGCCAAAUUCAUAUAUUAAUAACUAAAACUUACCUGGUAUUAUAUGGGCAUACUCAAGUCCCAUAGUCAGCCCUGCACAAUCCACAUAUACAAAAACUGAGGCCUCUGUAUACACAGGUUUGGCAUCCCUGGAAUACUGUAUUUUUCAAUCCACGUUUGGUUGAAAAAAUCCACAUAUCAGUGGACCUGCCCAGUUCAAACUGGUGUUGUUCAAGGGUCAACUGUAUUUCCUUAUGAAGGGGGCUCUUCC
rnacentral:lncRNA from 1 species